UUUGUAGUGGCAGAAAAAUGCAUAGACUUUAAGCGUCUAAGAUGUUCCAGGAGCCUACAAAA
rnacentral:tRNA from 1 species